GAUCAUGGCUCAGGAUGAACGCUAGCUACAGGCUUAACACAUGCAAGUCGAGGGGCAGCAUUGGAGUAGCAAUACUCAGAUGGCGACCGGCGCACGGGUGAGUAACACGUAUCCAACCUGCCGCUUACUCGGGGAUAGCCUUUCGAAAGAAAGAUUAAUACCCGAUGGUAUAAAGAGUUCGCAUGUUCUCUUUAUUAAAGAAUUUCGGUAAGCGAUGGGGAUGCGUUCCAUUAGAUAGUUGGCGGGGUAACGGCCCACCAAGUCUACGAUGGAUAGGGGUUCUGAGAGGAAGGUCCCCCACAUUGGAACCGAGACACGGUCCAAACUCCUACGGGAGGCAGCAGUGAGGAAUAUUGGUCAAUGGACGAGAGUCUGAACCAGCCAAGUAGCGUGAAGGAUGACUGCCCUAUGGGUUGUAAACUUCUUUUAUAAGGGAAUAAAGUGAGGGACGUGUCCCUUUUUGUAUGUACCUUAUGAAUAAGGAUCGGCUAACUCCGUGCCAGCAGCAGC
rnacentral:rRNA from 1 species